AGAUUGAACGCUGGCGGCAUGCUUUACACAUGCAAGUCGUGCGGCAGCGCGGGGGCAACCCUGGCGGCGAGCGGCGAACGGGUGAGGAAUACAUCGGAACGUACCCCGGAGUGGGGGAUAACCCAGCGAAAGUUGGACUAAUACCGCAUAUGCUCUGAGGAGGAAAGCAGGGGACUUCGCAAGAGGCCUUGCGCUCUGGGAGCGGCCGAUGUCCGAUUAGCUAGUUGGUGGGUAAUGGCUCACCAAGGCGACGAUCGGUAGCUGGUCUGAGAGGAUGAUCAGCCACACUGGGACUGAGACACGGCCCAGACUCCUACGGGAGGCAGCAGUGGGAAUUUUGGACAAUGGGGCAACCCUGAUCCAGCAUGCCGCGUGCGGGAAGAAGGCUCGGUGUAACGCUUUGUCGGAGAAGGCGAGCUGAAUACGGCUGUCUUGCGUACGCAGAAUAAGCACGGCAACUACGUGCCAGCAGCCGCGUAAC
rnacentral:rRNA from 1 species